rnacentral:lncRNA from 1 species
AUAAUUUGAUGAGAUAGGAACAGAAUAGAUAGGCAAAGGGUAUUCUGAAAGAAGUAGUAGUGGCAUCGUGAGGGUUACAGAUUCUGAAGCCACUAUAUGUGUUUCAAUCCUAAUUCUUCCUCUCACUGUUUGAAAUUGGGCAAUUUAUUUAGCCUCCUUCUUUAGAUUCUGUAUCUACAAUUAAGUAUAUAGAAGUUGUUAUGGGUAAAAGAUUUGAAGAAGAAUU